rnacentral:rRNA from 1 species
AUGCACGCUAGCUACAGGCUUCACACCUGCCAGUCGAGGGGAAACGGCAUCGAAAGCUUGCUUUUGAUGGGCGUCGACCGGCGCACGGGUGAGUAACGCGUAUCCAACCUGCCCAUCACUUGGGAAUAACCUUGCGAAAGUAAGACUAAUGCCCAAUGACAUCCCACGAAGGCAUCCGAAUGGGAUUAAAGAUUUAUCGGUGAUGGAUGGGGAUGCGUCUGAUUAGCUUGUUGGCGGGGUGACGGCCCACCAAGGCAACGAUCAGUAGGGGUUCAGAGAGGAAGGUCCCCCACAUUGGAACUGAGACACGGUCCAAACUCCUACGGGAGGCAGCAGUGAGGAAUAUUGGUCAAUGGGCGAGAGCCUGAACCAGCCAAGUAGCGUGCAGGAUGACGGCCCUAUGGGUUGUAAACUGCUUUUAUAAGGGAAUAAAGUGGGUCACGUGUGACUUUUUGCAUGUACCUUAUGAAUAAGGACCGGCUAAUUCCGUG